CCAGCAGCCCACAGCGCCUGGGUCGGUCCUGGGCACCCGCCUCUCACGGCCAGGCUGGCUCAGGCCUCCUCCUCCUCCGUGCAGCCGACUGAGCAGAGAGUGACGACCUCUGAGCAGGAUGACCUGGAACUUCCGAUCCUCCUGCCUCCGCGUCCCCAGCGAAGACAGAAGUGGCUGCCACGCCUGGUCUGUGUGGUGAUGGCACUGGGUCCCAGGCCUGUGCACAGGCGAGCGCAUCCUCAAGCUACAGCCGCAGCCCCUUUAGACUUGGACUCCGCCCGCCCGCCCCCGCCCCUUGGGGCUCCUUGAGGGUCGGGUGGUUCCAGGAGGUGGAGGGGAGCGGGGAGCGCCGUGCGCGGUGGAAGGGUCUCCGGGCAAGGUCUCCCAGAGCGGGCCCUCCUGGCGCAAGACGCGGGGCCUCUCCGCGAAGACCUGGAAGCCGAGGGCCGUGGUGAGCACAGGCACGUGCAGC